rnacentral:rRNA from 2 species
GUCGAACGAUGAUGCCCAGCUUGCUGGGUGGAUUAGUGGCGAACGGGUGAGUAACACGUGAGUAACCUGCCCCUGACUCUGGGAUAAGCGUUGGAAACGACGUCUAAUACUGGAUAUGAUCACUGGCCGCAUGGUCUGGUGGUGGAAAGAUUUUUUGGUUGGGGAUGGACUCGCGGCCUAUCAGCUUGUUGGUGAGGUAAUGGCUCACCAAGGCGACGACGGGUAGCCGGCCUGAGAGGGUGACCGGCCACACUGGGACUGAGACACGGCCCAGACUCCUACGGGAGGCAGCAGUGGGGAAUAUUGCACAAUGGGCGAAAGCCUGAUGCAGCAACGCCGCGUGAGGGAUGACGGCCUUCGGGUUGUAAACCUCUUUUAGUAGGGAAGAAGCGACUGAGUUUACUCUGAGUGACGGUACCUGCAGAAAAAGCACCGGCUAACUACGUGCCAGCAGCCGCGGUAAUACGUAGGGUGCAAGCGUUGUCCGGAAUUAUUGGGCGUAAAGAGCUCGUAGGCGGUUUGUCGCGUCUGCUGUGAAAUCCCGAGGCUCAACCUCGGGCUUGCAGUGGGUACGGGCAGACUAGAGUGCGGUAGGGGAGAUUGGAAUUCCUGGUGUAGCGGUGGAAUGCGCAGAUAUCAGGAGGAACACCGAUGGCGAAGGCAGAUCUCUGGGCCGUAACUGACGCUGAGGAGCGAAAGCAUGGGGAGCGAACAGGAUUAGAUACC